UACGUAGGGUGCAAGCGUUAUCCGGAAUUAUUGGGCGUAAAGAGCUCGUAGGCGGUUUGUCACGUCUGCUGUGAAAAACUGGAGGCUCAACCUCCAGCCUGCAGUGGGUACGGGCAGACUAGAGUGCGGUAGGGGAGAUUGGAAUUCCUGGUGUAGCGGUGGAAUGCGCAGAUAUCAGGAGGAACACCGAUGGCGAAGGCAGAUCUCUGGGCCGUAACUGACGCUGAGGAGCGAAAGCAUGGGGAGCGAACAGG
rnacentral:rRNA from 1 species